rnacentral:tRNA from 1 species
GAGGAUGUGGCUCAGUGACAGAGCUCUUGCCUUGCACGCACAAGGCCCUGGGUUGGAUCCCCAGCACCACCA